rnacentral:rRNA from 1 species
AUACGUAGGUGGCGAGCGUUAUCCGGAAUUAUUGGGCGUAAAGGGUGCGCAGGCGGCCUGUUAAGUUUAAGGUGAAAGCGUGGGGCUUAACCCCAUAUAGCCUUAGAUACUGGCAGGCUAGAGUACUGGAGAGGGAAGUGGAAUUCCAUGUGUAGCGGUAAAAUGCGUAGAUAUAUGGAGGAACACCAGUGGCGAAGGCGGCUUCCUAGCCAGAGACUGACGCUCAUGCACGAAAGCGUGGGGAGCAAAUAGGAUUAGAUACCCUAGUAGUCCACGCUGUAAACGAUGAAUGCUAAGUGUUGGGGUAACUCAGUGCUGCAGCUAACGCAAUAAGCAUUCCGCCUGUGGAGUAUGCACGCAAGUGUGAAACUUAAAGGAAUUGACGGGG